rnacentral:misc_RNA from 1 species
UUGAAUAAAUUUGGCGUGGUUGUAGCUGACUCUCCGGAGUAUGUGCUCGCCCGUCACCUUUAUCUUUCCACCUGUGCACACACUGUAGACAUGGAUACCUCUCGCUGAAAGGCGGAUGCGGAGGUUGCCGUUCUCUGGACGGCUUCCUCUGAAUUUCCAUGUCUAUGAUAUUUCAACACACCCCAAACUGAAUGUAACAGAAUGUAAUCAUUGGGCUUCGUGCCCAUAAACCUAUA